GACAGAGGUGCCAAGCGUUAGGCGGAAUCACUGGGCUUAAAGCGUGUGUAGGCGGGUCGUUAAGUGUCUUGUGAAAUCCCCCGGCUCAACCGGGGAAUGGCUGGGCAUACUGGCGAUCUUGAGCAGUCUAGGGGCAGAUGGAACAGACGGUGGAGCGGUGAAAUGCGUAGAUAUCGUCUGGAACGCCGAAGGUGAAAACAGCUCGCUGGGGCUGCGCUGACGCUGAGACACGAAAGCCAGGGGAGCGAACGGG
rnacentral:rRNA from 1 species